UACAGAGGGGGCAAGCGUUAUUCGGAAUUAUUGGGCGUAAAGGGCGCGUAGGCGGCUUGGCAAGUGGAUGGUGAAAUCCCUCGGCUUAACCGAGGAACUGCCGUCCAAACUGCUUCGCUUGAGACCGGGAGAGGUGAGUGGAAUUCCCAGUGUAGCGGUGAAAUGCGUAGAUAUUCGGAAGAACACCAGUGGCGAAGGCGGCUCACUGGACUGGUAUUGACGCUGAGGUGCGAAAGCGUGGGGAGCAAACAGG
rnacentral:rRNA from 1 species